CAAACAAAAAACAUUCCACGGCCAGAACACAAGACAAAAAAUUUCAUUCUUUUUCAAUCCCAAACCAGCAACCAAAACGAGAACAAUUUUCCUCCCAUUUUUUCUUACAAUCCAAACCUUUCCAAUCAACCAACCAAACAAACACAAAUUUCGAACCAGAACAUUACUAAGACAAGAUCAACAACCAAACUCACAGAUCCGGUAACCACACACAAAACCGAUCCAAACCCACAACACACACGUCACAAGAACACAAACUAUUCUCACAACAACAACAACAAACCGUCACAAACAAAUCCGUUCAAGAAGAAAAGAAAUUAAUUGUGGACGACGGGAAGAAGGAUGUCUACGACUUUGGAAGUGUGCUUUUUGAAUUGAUGACAGGGAAAACAUAUAAUGAAUUGUCGCGUUCAUCUGACACUACUAAUCUAUGUGGUAACCCUUUGAGUUUUUAUAAUGUUAUUGAUAAAUCUUUGACCGGGGAAGGACUUGAAAAUGAAGUUUGUACUCUCAUUAAGAUUGCCUGUGAGUGUGUUCACCCUUUUCCAGACCAAAGGUCAACAAUGCUUGAAGUUUACAACAAUAUGAGCAAUGACAGGAAGCCACCAAAUGGUUAUGGUGAUGAUUCUGACACAUUAAGGGGAUUUGAAUAUGCAGCCAUAGGUUUUGUAAUGUCGUAAAAAAGUAAGUAUCAUUGUGAGAAAAAGUUGUAUAAUAUGUAUAAUACGUCUCCCCCACGCCACAUAUAUUAAAAAAGUGAACAUGAACUCCAUCGUCUA